rnacentral:sRNA from 1 species
CGCGCCUCUGCGUGCGUGCGUGCGCGGCCCGGCAGAGUCGUGCGGGCGCCCGCGUACUCACUAGCUGAGGUGGCAGUGGCUCCACCAACAUGGAGCUCUCGCAGAUGUCGGAGCUCAUGGGGCUGUCGGUGUUGCUUGGGCUGCUGGCCCUGAUGGCGACGGCGGCGGUAGCGCGGGGGUGGCUGCGCGCGGGGGAGGAGAGGAGCGGCCGGCCUGCCUGCCAAAAAGCAAAUGGAUUUCCACCUGACAAAUCUUCGGGAUCCAAGAAGCAGAAACAAUAUCAGCGGAUUCGGAAGGAGAAGCCUCAACAACACAACUUCACCCACCGCCUCCUGGCUGCAGCUCUGAAGAGCCACAGCGGGAACAUAUCUUGCAUGGACUUUAGCAGCAAUGGCAAAUACCUGGCUACCUGUGCAGAUGAUCGCACCAUCCGCAUCUGGAGCACCAAGGACUUCCUACAGCGAGAGCACCGCAGCAUGAGAGCCAACGUGGAGCUGGACCACGCCACCCUGGUGCGCUUCAGCCCUGACUGCAGAGCCUUCAUCGUCUGGCUGGCCAACGGGGACACCCUCCGUGUCUUCAAGAUGACCAAGAGGGAGGAUGGGGGCUACACCUUCACAGCCACCCCAGAGGACUUCCCUAAAAAGCACAAGGCGCCUGUCAUCGACAUUGGCAUUGCUAACACAGGGAAGUUUAUCAUGACUGCCUCCAGUGACACCACUGUCCUCAUCUGGAGCCUGAAGGGUCAAGUGCUGUCUACCAUCAACACCAACCAGAUGAACAACACACACGCUGCUGUAUCUCCCUGUGGCAGGCUGGAGUGCAAUGGCAGGAUCUUGGCUCACCACAACCUCCAUCUCCCGGGUUCAAGCGAUUCUCCUGCCUCAGCCUCCCCCAAGUAGCUGGGAUUACAGGCAUGCACCACCAUACCCAGCUAAUUUUUUAUUUUUAGUAGAGGUGAGGUUUCUCCAUGUUGGUCAGGCUGGUCUCAAACUGUCGACCUCAGGUGAGCUGCCCGCCUGGGCCUCCCAAAGUGCUGGGAUUACAGGUAUGAGCCACCACACCUGGCCUUUUUUUUUUUAAUUCUGAGACAGUCUCACUCUGUUGCCCAGGCUGGAGUGCAGUGGUGCAAUCUCAAUCUCAGCUCACUGCAACCUCCACCUACCAGGUUCAAGUGAUUCUCCCACCUCAGCCUUCCCAGUAGGUGGGACUACAGGCAUGCGCCACCACGCCUGGCUAAUUUUGUAUUUUUAGUAGAGAUGA